UACGUAGGGUGCAAGCGUUAAUCGGAAUUACUGGGCGUAAAGCGUGCGCAGGCGGUUUUGUAAGUCUGACGUGAAAUCCCCGGGCUCAACCUGGGAAUUGCGUUGGAGACUGCAAGGCUAGAAUCUGGCAGAGGGGGGUAGAAUUCCACGUGUAGCAGUGAAAUGCGUAGAGAUGUGGAGGAACACCGAUGGCGAAGGCAGCCCCCCGGGUCAAGAUUGACGCUCAUGCACGAAAGCGUGGGGAGCAAACAGG
rnacentral:rRNA from 1 species